AUCCAGCUGACGAGUGUCAAAUAGGACGAAACGCGCGUCCUGGAU
rfam:Schistosoma mansoni, Puerto Rico, WGS project CABG01000000 data, contig: 0013